CCAGCACCCUGCUUGGGUAGGAAAUGAGGCGGUGAGAGAGGGAAUCUGGUGACCUCUGAGAGGGCUGACAGUGUCCUUUGUCCCCUUGGGACAAAACACGGUCCUGAGGUCCUGAAUUUCUGCCCUCCUCGUGGGAAGGAGUGGUGGUACUGGGGCUGUGAGAGAAUAAAGGCUGUCCCGGUAUGCCCCUGCGAAUGGGGGCAGUGUCUGGUGCUGCUUAGGGAUUGCAAGCUGACAUAACACAGCCAGAACCGCUGUCAGGAAAUUAACACCUCGCUCCUGGAAUCACGUUGGUGAGCUCACACCUCCACCUGCUCUGCAGCUGAGUCCAUUUUCGAUGUGUGGAGGUGCCGGUGACUGCUGGGAGGGCCUCGCUGCAGCAGCCGUUCCUUCCUUUUUCCUUCCCCCAAAGGUCGGUGGCUGCAGAUCUGUGGGGUGCCUUAUCCAGCCUCAUGACUCCCUGUCAGUGGUGUGAGCCAUCCCUGAAGGUACUCUCACAUCAGGAUAAGGUCUCCAAAAUGAGCAAGCCUAGAUGAGCCAGGGUGGGAUUACAGCGGCAGCAGCGGAGCCACCUGGAGCCUCCCGUUUGGGCAGCGAUGGACAUCCAGCAGUGCUCUGGGGCUGCUGCUUCACUGAGCCGUGCUGUGGAAGGAUGUGGCAGUUGAACUGACUGCACUGUAAAAUCUCUCAUCCAACUUUGGACAUCCCCAGAUGCCAGCAGGAGGAAACGAGGUUUCUUGUGAGGUGCAUGGCUGGCUGUGCCCCUCCUCGGGGGGCUUUUUCCCCCUCCUGCAUAUCAGGAACUGCUGCAGCUCUCCAGGCCCUCGCAACUACUGUUCCUUAUGUUGUGAUAAGCCACGGUGCUGUAAUUCCCUCGUGAAAGGCAUUGUUUGAGUGUGUUUAGGCUGCAGGAGCAUUUAUGACUUUUUGAUGUGGUCUGAUUAUGAAUAUCGUGUGUUGAAAACACAGAUAACUUGUUUAAACACACAGCACAUGGGCUGGAAGGUGGAAAGUUUUUUUUGUUUUUUUUUUUUCCUCCGGUCCCACCGCAGCAGGCAGGGAAGGCACUGCCUGAUACCAGCCGUGACUCCGGCAGUUCACUUCAGGUAACUGCUCGGAGGUUUCCUUCCCACUGGCUUAUGUUUAAAAGAGCUUUGAGGAAAAAAACAAACGCUGCCUGGUGGAACUGCACGCAUAAACCAUGACAACAAAGCAAAUGGGAGCUAAGUACCAGUUGUUUUCCUAAACUUGGGCUUUGAAGUGGGUCCCAAGUGCUGUGUACAAGUCUGUUCUCCAAUUUUUUUUGCUGUAUCUGCCUAUUUUUCUGUGUCAGGUCUCUGCCUGCUUGCCCCAGAAGUCGUGCCUUGAGUACCUCGUGUGGGGCAGUGCGUGACGGUAACUGCUGCUGCGUGUUGUGAGAUCCUGUCUCUGGAAGUGGUUUGCAAGAGACCAGGUGAGACAGCUUUGCCUGUUCCUUCAAGGUACUCAGCUCAUGAGGAGCCAGGAGCUGGUGCUGAGGCUGGAGCACGUUGGCAGAUGGGAUGGGACGUGGCUGAAGAUCUGUAACUCGGUUCGUGUCUCAUUGCGAACCUGUUAAGGGAGCUGGCAGGGCUUGUUGCUGGCUGCUGUGGGUUGUCUUCAGCAUGGCAUUGUGAAAAGAGAUGGGUAAAUGCAGUG